rnacentral:rRNA from 1 species
UAAUACAGAGGGUGCGAGCGUUGUCCGGAAUCACUGGGCGUAAAGGGCGCGUAGGUGGCUUGGGAAGCGUGUGGUGAAAGCCCGGGGCUCAACCCCGGGUCGGCCAUGCGAACUGCCAGGCUGGAGCACGGUAGAGGCCAAUGGAAUUCCGGGUGUAGCGGUGGAAUGCGUAGAGAUCCGGAAGAACACCGGUGGCGAAGGCGGUUGGCUGGGCCGUGGCUGACACUGAGGCGCGACAGCGUGGGGAGCAAACAGGAUUAGAUACCCUGGUAGUCCACGCCGUAAACGAUGGGCACUAGGUCCUUGGGGGAGCGACCCCGUGAGGGCCGGCGCUAACGCAUUAAGUGCCCCGCCUGGGGAGUACGGCCGCAAGGCUG